CCUACGGGGGGCAGCAGUGGGGAAUAUUGGACAAUGGGGGCAACCCUGAUCCAGCCAUGCCGCGUGUGUGAAGAAGGCCCUCGGGUUGUAAAGCACUUUCAGUGAGGAAGAACGCCUGGUGGUUAAUACCCAUCAGGAAAGACAUCACUCACAGAAGAAGCACCGGCUAACUCCGUGCCAGCAGCCGCGGUAAUACGGAGGGUGCGAGCGUUAAUCGGAAUUACUGGGCGUAAAGCGCGCGUAGGUGGCUUGAUAAGCCGGUUGUGAAAGCCCCGGGCUCAACCUGGGAACGGCAUCCGGAACUGUCAAGCUAGAGUGCAGGAGAGGAAGGUAGAAUUCCCGGUGUAGCGGUGAAAUGCGUAGAGAUCGGGAGGAAUACCAGUGGCGAAGGCGGCCUUCUGGACUGACACUGACACUGAGGUGCGAGAGCGUGGGUAGCAAACAGGAUUAGAUACCCUGGUAGUC
rnacentral:rRNA from 1 species